rnacentral:rRNA from 1 species
UGAGUAACACGUGGGUAACCUGCCCUUAAGUGGGGGAUAACAUUUGGAAACAGAUGCUAAUACCGCAUAAAUCCAAGAACCGCAUGGUUCUUGGCUGAAAGAUGGCGUAAGCUAUCGCUUUUGGAUGGACCCGCGGCGUAUUAGCUAGUUGGUGAGGUAACGGCUCACCAAGGCAAUGAUACGUAGCCGAACUGAGAGGUUGAUCGGCCACAUUGGGACUGAGACACGGCCCAAACUCCUACGGGAGGCAGCAGUAGGGAAUCUUCCACAAUGGACGCAAGUCUGAUGGAGCAACGCCGCGUGAGUGAAGAAGGCUUUCGGGUCGUAAAACUCUGUUGUUGGAGAAGAAUGGUCGGCAGAGUAACUGUUGUCGGCGUGACGGUAUCCAACCAGAAAGCCACGGCUAACUACGUGCCAGCAGCCGCGGUAAUACGUAGGUGGCAAGCGUUAUCCGGAUUUAUUGGGCGUAAAGCGAGCGCAGGCGGUUUUUUAAGUCUGAUGUGAAAGCCCUCGGCUUAACCGAGGAAGUGCAUCGGAAACUGGGAAACUUGAGUGCAGAAGAGGACAGUGGAACUCCAUGUGUAGCGGUGAAAUGCGUAGAUAUAUGGAAGAACACCAGUGGCGAAGGCGGCUGUCUGGUCUGUAACUGACGCUGAGGCUCGAAAGCAUGGGUAGCGAACAGGAUUAGAUACCCUGGUAGUCCAUGCCGUAAACGAUGAAUGCUAGGUGUUGGAGGGUUUCCGCCCUUCAGUGCCGCAGCUAACGCAUUAAGCAUUCCGCCUGGGGAGUACGACCGCAAGGUUGAAACUCAAAGGAAUUGACGGGGGCCCGCACAAGC